rnacentral:misc_RNA from 1 species
AACGCACAUUGCGCCCCUCGGUAUUCCGUGGGGCAUGCCUGUUCGAGCGUCAUUUACACCCUCAAGCUCUGCUUGGUGUUGGGCGUCUGUCCCGCUUUAUGCGUGGACUCGCCCCAAAGUCAUUGGCAGCGGUCGUGCCAGCUUCUCGCGCAGCACAUUUGCGUUUCUUGAAGCUUGGUGGAUCAGCAUCCAGUAAGUUAUUUUAUGACUUGACCUCGGAUCAGGUAGGGAUACCCGCUGAACUUAA